rnacentral:lncRNA from 1 species
GCAAGCUCAUGCCUGUCGGAAUCAGCCCGUCUUCCUGGGUAUCCUGAGGCCAUUGCUCUGGCAGGUGUGGAACCCUGCCAGAGCAGCAGCAGAGGUGCUUUGUGCCGACCUUCUGGUCUGUUCUUGGACUAACUGUGAGCAAGGAGCCGUCACACUAAUACCCACUCACUUCAACACUGGGAUCUCAGGCAUUUUGGAAAUGAAACAAAAAGGUUUAUGUGAAGUCUCUUCUGGAAUUUCUAGCUUCGGUAGAGAAUCAAACGCUGAUCAAACUAGCCGGUUCUGUGACCAGUGAUAACAUUUCUGUAACGACAAGUGUCCCGGGACCUGCACCCUUGGGUCUGCUCUGCCUGCCUCGCUGCUGGCUGCAGCGUGCUCUCACCGCUUACUUCAGACAGAGAAAUGUAGGUUACUCAUUUGUUUCUGGAAACGUAUCUGCACCCACAUCUUUCCUCCACAGUGGCGUCCGGGAGGAGGCGACCCCCCCACCUCCGUUUACUGGGGCUGGUCCCGCUCCAGUGCUUCAGAAGCUGUGUACAGGCUGCAUGUGGGACCAAAGGGGAUUGCAGCUUCACAUUCCAUGCUUUUGUUGCUCAGGUGGGAGGAAGGCUGAGACUCCUUGGGAAGUCAAUAACAGACCCUCCAAAAUGGUACCAGAUCUUGGUGUUCCCUUGCCUCCAGGAUUUUUUUUUUAA